rnacentral:lncRNA from 1 species
CUGAUGUGUGAUGGUUGCAUCUGAACUUGAGAGGAGAUGUUGCCACUAACACUACCUUAAAAAUUGGUGUAGCCAGUGGAAGGGCAUUUUCCUUUAGGAAAAGAUUUGCGUGCUUUGUGAAACACAACUAUUUGAUAACAAUUGGGCUCAUGUUUUAUUUUUGUCUUGCAGGGUUUGGGUGCAACAGGGGUAAGCAGGCCCACAGAAUCUGUUAGCACCAUGACCAUGGACCAACAUACCCAAGUGGAAGAGGAGAGAUUCUUUCACUCACCCCUGCCUGGACAACACAGACCAAGGGAUGACAUACCACGAAUAUCUUACGAAGACUUCAGCGAACCUAGUGCUGGAAGAUCUGCCGCAGGCAAGCCUAUGAGGAGAGACCCUGGGCAUUCCGGCUUGUUUGUGGAACCUGGAACCUUGAAAUACUACACAUUAGUUGUUGAAGGCGAAAGCCAUCCAACUAGCAGCGGACAUCGACGAGGAAGAUCUACGAGCGUUGGAAGGAAAGAGAGGCCUUCUCCCCAAGGUGAACCAAGGCCUGUUUCCAUGCCCCCCGAAUAUGGCUGGGUGAGGGAUUCCAGAGAACAUGGAAUGCACAG